rnacentral:lncRNA from 1 species
AUUUCGAGUCUAUCUAGAAUAAGAGAUGUCAUUUCUAGUCUAUCUAGACAUCUAGAAUUUCGAGUCUAUCUAUUAAUCUAUAUAUAUCUUGGAAAGUGCAUCCAUAUAUAUCUUGGAAAGUGCAUGAAUUAUAUAAGAGAGGCAAUGGCAAUAUUCAAGCAAAAAAGGGGGUUUAGUGAUGAUUUAGAAAGAUGUUCAAUAAAUCCAUGCCAGAGACUCCCGCCGAGAUAUUGAUCUAAUCAGCAGUUCGUUCCAUUGCAUCCCUGCGAAGCACUUGGAUUUCCUCUGCUCAACACUGCGCCCUCUUUAUGUCCGAUUCUUUAUCGUAUCGCGCGCGACCAAGGAAUUUCUGUAUUCAUUACCUUUUCAAGGGAAGAGAAUGUGAAAUCAAUCUAUAUUCUGGAUUCUAUAUAUUUAUUUCAGAUUUCAGAAGACUCUGGUUGGGGUAAUUGAGUGAACUUUUCAAUGGCUCCAAUUGCUUACAGUAAAAGGACGAGUUUCAUAAAUCAAUAUCGAAUUUGAGUUCUCAUGCGGAAAUAUAGAAUUUGAGUUCUCAUGCGCUAGCACGGGAUUCCUUUCCGUUUAGUUUCAUUCUGCUUUCCCCGCUUAAAGUGAUUGGAAAGGCAACUUUCAAGCUUAUAGGAAUUAGCUGUGUGAUUAAUACUGGUGUUUUCGAACGCAUAAGCUGUGAUUCAUACUAGUGUUUGUUUUCGAACGCUUCGGCAGUCACAUGCUUGCAUUACAUUCUAACAAUUGAUUGAAUACCGAGACUGGAGAUAGAGAAGCCAUUGAUCUAGCCAACAAGGAAUAAGGUGAUUCAGCCUGGGUGGGCUUAGGUUGAUACCGCUGAAGUAGGGGAGAGUCCAAAUAAGAGAUCCAAAGCAAGGUCAAAGAAUUCAGAAGGGGCAGAGAGUUCCCCCCGUCAUCUCAUCAAUAGGUUGAUUUAUUCCUUAGGGCUUUCUAUUUCUAGCUAAUGGAAGACUCCGGAGAAGGAGUCGUUUAUAGGGCUCAAGUAUCUUAUUAAAGAAGUGAUCUUUUAGGCAGUUGGAGAUUAACAUCACUGUUCCCAGGGCAAACUAUCCAUAUUCUUUCUUAAUUCCCGGCCUUAUAUUAUAGUUAUAGUAAUUCGCUGACUUGGAGCAGAAUCAUAACUUCAAUACUAGAGGCCUCUAUAAUAAGUUGAGGUAGAAUCAAAAGAAGUCGGUAACUAUUUCUUUUAUACCUGAAUGAGGCUAAUCCACUUUUCCUAUUUCUUAACUCUAAUUCCCCUAAUAAUUAAUACAUCUACAUACAUUUGACAAACUCUUUCUUACUUCCUAUCUGAAGCAGUGGUGGAAAGGGAUGCGUCAAGUAAACUAGAUGCUAUAGUGGUGGAAUUCUUUUAUGGACAACUCUAGCGUGUGUGACACAUAUAGAAUCAGAGAAUCCGCUGUUAGAAAGUAUGCAGCUAUCGGGUCUGUAUAUCUCGGUUAAGUCGAUGAGAAUGAAUCCGCUGCGCACAAGUUCAGUCUGCAGCAAGCGGGUAUCUCGGCUCGGGCUAAAGUCUGCAAGUCCAGUGUUCGGCUAAAGGGCCGCUCCAGAGUUUGGCGCAUAAAGUGGUUUUGUUUGUUCUCUUACUUUCGAUGUCUUCGUGUUGCGCGGCCUGUAUAUGUGUGUUAAAGAAAGAAAGUCAGUAAGGAAGGGAUCCUUCUUGUGUUACGCAUCGCAAUAGUUAGGCUUUUUGUCACCUGAUUUCGCUAAUACAAUAGAAAGAAGUUGACUCUAUAAUAAUUCCAUAAUCAAAUCAAUAGCUCUGCUCUGUACGACCGAACGAACAAAUGAACGAGUGACUGGGAUAGCAUAGAAUUAGUUCUCUGAUUUUCAUAAUGAGUUGUCCUACCUUGCUUUAGUUGCCCGGCCGAACCAUCAAUGAACGUGCGUGCGCUGGACCACCUCGUUGUUCGUUGUUUCUACCAAUGCAUGUCCGCCUCGUAGUCCUUUCUUUCUACCAUUGGGUGUCCGCCCCGUAGUCCUAAGCCCGAAGAAGAAAUGUUGUUUCGCUCGAUGCACGUUGUUGUUGAACAAUGAAUGAGAGCGAUUACCUUUAACCCAAAGAAUCAAUAUAGUUUCUCCCAAUGCGUAUGAUAGGGAUGUCGACCGAAGCGAAGACUGAGUUGCUGGGCCAGAGCACACAUAGUAGCUCUAGGGGGUUUCUCUUUUCUCCCUGUGUAGGUGUAGGUGUGUUGGCUGCUUAAGGGCUCCUCCGGCUAUGCUAGAGAGAGAGGUAGGGCAAGCUUAUAGACUAGAGAGAGAGGCUAGAGAGGUAGUCGUUAUAUUCUUGUUGUCAAUGUUAGAUUCCGAGGUGAAGUUAAGGUGUUUAGAUCACUGUUCCAAUUCUGCUUAGCGGUGGUUUUAUUGCCUUUUUAUUGGUCCACUCUAUCGGGUAGCUGUAUCAGGCCCAUAAGCUGUAGGCGUAUUCUAUAUAAGUAGCUUAAUGAGGAGAAGAAGUACCUUUCUCCUGUAUUACUCUAACUUGUUUGAUUCCCGGAAAUACUAGCAAAAACCUUAGAAGCUGCAGCGGGAUCCCUAGUUAUUAGAACAAAGUCUUAUCGGAUAGUAGCUCACCCUUACACUGACUCCUAUUAGUAUAUGACUGGUUUGUGCCUACUCCUAUUAGUUUAUGACUUAUGCUGACUCCUCCUAUUAGUCAAUAAGGCUUGUGGAAUACCGCAGAGUUCUGUGACUUAUGAGUAAUACUCGGCCCUGUAUGCAAGUAGUUCGUUUAUGUUGGGAGUAUUGCCAGACUCACGGCGGAAAUACAUAAUUCAAGUAAGAAGUAGAAGCCCUACAAUUGAUUUGUGCUCUAAGCCCCCUAUUUCCAGCAAUUAGUCUACUGGGGAAUCAGUGGCUGGAGAGAAUCUCUGGCGAUGGAAAAAGGAAGGAAGCUCUAUGCCUCGACAUCUCUUUGUCCGCGGUAAGGGUUAUGCCCUACCUUCGAGCUGGGGAGCGGAAGAUAGUGAAUUCGCCGUCUUUCCCAUUCUUUACCCCAACCUGCUAUGAAGAAAGACUGAAACAGAUUUGAAUAGCAGCAAUUUCUCUAUAUUUUCUUAUUUGUGGGUUCUCUAUAUUUUCUUAUUUGUGGGACCAGAAGAAGGGGAUCCACUUGACUCUCCUUUCGACUUGGAAAGCACUCUUAAUGUUGGGCAUCCUUUACUCUGGUUUAGACAUGAGGCGGAGAGGGUAUUAGUUUCCAUCUGCUGCUGGAUUGACGUCAACGCAGGUCUGUUCCCUUGUAUAGUAGGGGUUUCGCGGAUCAUAUAAAAGACAGAAUAAAUCAAAGUGGAUGAAAUGCUAGAGAGGAGACGACGCA